rnacentral:rRNA from 1 species
UACGGAGGGAGCAAGCGUUGUUCGGAUUUACUGGGCGUAAAGGGCGCGUAGGCGGCCACCGCAAGUCGACUGUGAAAUCUCCGGGCUUAACCCGGAAAGGUCAGCCGAUACUGCGGGGCUAGAGUGCAGAAGGGGCAACUGGAAUUCUCGGUGUAGCGGUGAAAUGCGUAGAUAUCGAGAGGAACACCUGCGGCGAAGGCGGGUUGCUGGGCUGACACUGACGCUGAUGCGCGAAAGCUAGGGGAGCGAACGGG